rnacentral:rRNA from 1 species
UAGCGGCAGGCUUAACACAUGCAAGUCGAGGGGCAGCACGAGGUAGCAAUACUUUGGUGGCGACCGGCGCACGGGUGCGUAACGCGUAUGCAACCUACCUUUAACAGGGGCAUAACACUGAGAAAUUGGUACUAAUUCCCCAUAACAUUCGAGAAGGCAUCUUCUUGGGUUAAAAACUCCGGUGGUUAAAGAUGGGCAUGCGUUGUAUUAGCUAGUUGGUGAGGUAACGGCUCACCAAGGCAACGAUACAUAGGGGGACUGAGAGGUUAACCCCCCACAUUGGUACUGAGACACGGACCAAACUCCUACGGGAGGCAGCAGUGAGGAAUAUUGGUCAAUGGACGCAAGUCUGAACCAGCCAUGCCGCGUGCAGGAAGACGGCUCUAUGAGUUGUAAACUGCUUUUGUACUAGGGUAAACGCUCUUACGUGUAGGAGCCUGAAAGUAUAGUACGAAUAAGGAUCGGCUAACUCCGUGCCAGCAGCCGCGGUAAUACGGAGGAUCCAAGCGUUAUCCGGAUUUAUUGGGUUUAAAGGGUGCGUAGGCGGUUUGAUAAGUUAGAGGUGAAAUACCGGGGCUCAACUCCGGAACUGCCUCUAAUACUGUUGAACUAGAGAGUAGUUGCGGUAGGCGGAAUGUAUGGUGUAGCGGUGAAAUGCUUAGAGAUCAUACAGAACACCGAUUGCGAAGGCAGCUUACCAAACUAUAUCUGACGUUGAGGCACGAAAGCGUGGGGAGCAAACAGGAUUAGAUACCCUGGUAGUCCACGCAGUAAACGAUGAUAACUCGUUGUCGGCGAUACACAGUCGGUGACUAAGCGAAAGCGAUAAGUUAUCCACCUGGGGAGUACGUUCGCAAGAAUGAAACUCAAAGGAAUUGACGGGGGCCCGC